UACAAAUUCUUUAUCAGAUUGAAACGACAAGGUGAUAUCUUUAGGCGUAAUAAGACCACUGAUGUUCUUGUACAUCGAAAACAUACAGCUCUUCAAGGAACUCCCAUUAUUUUUGAGGGAGAAGACUGACAUUCUGCUGAGGACUUGUCUGGAAACAGACCCAGAGGAAAGUUGCACCCAAGGCUUGAAAGUGGGUAUCAUCAUCAUUAUUGUUGGAGGAUGAUGUUGCCAUUGUCCAUUCCAACCCCAAUAUUGUCGGAACAGGCAUUGUACUGGAGGAGCAGAUUGUGCUGGAUGAGCUGCGUGAUCUGCCCAGUGCAUUUGCACUCCUGUUUGGCUUACUCUAUGUACUAAA